CGCGUGGGAACCUGCCUUUGGGUACGGAAUAACUGUGGGAAACUGCGGCUAAUACCGUAUGACGCCGAGAGGCCAAAGAUUUAUCGCCCAUUGAGGGGCCCGCGUCGGAUUAGCUAGUUGGUGGGGUAAUGGCCUACCAAGGCGACGAUCUGUAGCUGGUUUGAGAGGAUGAUCAGCCACACUGGGGCUGAGACACGGCCCAGACUCCUACGGGAGGCAGCAGUGGGGAAUAUUGGACAAUGGGCGCAAGCCUGAUCCAGCAAUGCCGCGUGAGUGAAGAAGGCCCUAGGGUUGUAAAGCUCUUUCGUCAGGGAAGAUAAUGACGGUACCUGAAGAAGAAGCCCCGGCUAACUCCGUG
rnacentral:rRNA from 1 species